rnacentral:rRNA from 1 species
CUGGCUCAGAUUGAACGCUGGCGGAAUGCUUUACACAUGCAAGUCGAACGGCAGCACGGGAGCUUGCUCCUGGUGGCGAGUGGCGAACGGGUGAGUAAUAUAUCGGAACGUAUCCAAUAAUGGGGGAUAACUAGUCGAAAGAUUAGCUAAUACCGCAUACGCCCUGAGGGGGAAAGCUGGGGAUCUUCGGACCUAGCGUUAAUGGAGCGGCCGAUAUCUGAUUAGCUAGUAGGUGAGGUAAGAGCUCACCUAGGCGACGAUCAGUAGCUGGCCUGAGAGGACGACCAGCCACACUGGAACUGAGACACGGUCCAGACUCCUACGGGAGGCAGCAGUGGGGAAUUUUGGACAAUGGGCGCAAGCCUGAUCCAGCCAUUCCGCGUGAGUGAAGAAGGCCUUCGGGUUGUAAAGCUCUUUCGCAAGGGAAGAAAACUUAACCUCUAACAUAGGUUGAGGCUGACGGUACCUUGAUAAGAAGCACCGGCUAACUACGUGCCAGCAGCCGCGGUAAUACGUAGGGUGCGAGCGUUAAUCGGAAUUACUGGGCGUAAAGCGUGCGCAGGCGGCCUGAUAAGUCAGAUGUGAAAUCCCCGAG